rnacentral:rRNA from 1 species
UACAGAGGUGGCAAGCGUUGUUCGGAAUUACUGGGCGUAAAGGGCGCGUAGGCGGCUUGGUCAGUCCCGUGUGAAAUCCCUCGGCUCAACUGAGGAACUGCACGGGAAACUGCCUGGCUUGAGUUCGGGAGAGGGAAGCGGAAUUCCGGGUGUAGCGGUGAAAUGCGUAGAUAUUCGCAAGAACACCAGUGGCGAAGGCGGCUCACUGGCCCGGUACUGACGCUGAGGUGCGAAAGCGUGGGGAGCAAACAGG